GAUGAACGCUGGCGGCGUGCCUAAUACAUGCAAGUCGAGCGAACAGACGAGGCGCUUGCUCCUCUGACGUUAGCGGCGGACGGGUGAGUAACACGUGGAUAACCUACCUAUAAGACUGAGAUCACUUCGGGAAACCGGAGCUAAUCCCGUAUAAUCUAUUGAACCGCAUGGUUCAAUAGUGAAAGACGGUUUUGCUGUCACUUAUAGAUGGAUCUGCGCCGCAUUGGCUAGUUGGUAAGGUAAAGGCUUACCAAGGCUACGAUGCGUAGCCGACGUGUGAGGGUGAUCGGCCACACUGGAACUGAGACACGGUCCAGACGCCUACGGGAGGCAGCAGUAGGGAAUCUGCCGCAAUGGGCGAAAGCCUGACGGAGCAACGCCGCGUGAGUGAUGAAGGUCUUCGGAUCGUAAAACUCUGUUAUUAGGGAAGAACAAAUGUGUAAGUAACUAUGCACGUCUUGACGGUACCUAAUCAGAAAGCCACGGCUAACUACGUG
rnacentral:rRNA from 1 species